AAAGCCCCGCCCAAAGACCACGCCCCUUCGGACGCGCUCCAGAGGCCCCGCCCAGGACACGCCCCCUCCAAAAAGACCACGCCCCUGAGAUAACGCGCCCCCCGAGGCCACGCCCCUGGGACGCGCCUCUGCAGACCUGUGCCCCGCGGAAGGCGCGUUCUGCGGGUCUGCUGUCUGCCUGCAUCUGGGUGUCCGUGUUUCUCGGUCCCUGUCUGUGACUGCUACAUUUCCGUGUGUCUCUCCUGCACCCUGAGUGUCUCUGUGUCUCUCUGCCGUCCUCUGUCUCUGUCUCCCUGAGUGCUUAGAUGUCUCUCUCUAGAUUUCUGUGUCCUUCUUUCUCUCUGCGUCUCUCCCCGCAUCUCCCCUUCUCUCUGAAUUUCUCUGCGUCCCCGUCCAUCUUCAGGUCUCUCCCUCUAGCCCCUCCGCCUCUCUCUGUCUCUGUCCCUCUCUGCCGCCUGCGUCCCCCGCCGGCCCGCGGGGGCGCCCUGCCUUCCCUGGUUCCACUCAUUCAGACGGCUUCGGCGGCGCCGGCGGGGUGGGCGGCUCGGCGGGCCGCGGGCGCCCCCGUGUGGCUGGCACGGGGCGGUCCGGAGAGGCCAGAGAUCGGAGUGGGUGCAGGAGGGACGCUGAGGGUGUCCCGGAGCUGGUGUGUAACCCCAGGGGACUGUGCGAGCGCGUGCUACUGUGGGGUUGUGCGUGAUGCCAGAGGUGGUGUGCCGCUCCGUGAGCUUGUGAGAUUUUGUGUGACAAUCAGAGACUGCGUGUGACUGUGGGAAAUCGUGUUGCGCCUUGAGGAUGUGUGUGUGUGACUGUGUAUGUGAGAUGAGAGAGAUGACGUAGAGGUGACUGUGUGUGACACUGUGACGUCGGGUGUGCCUGGGACACUAUUUAGGAGACAGUUUGUGACAUCCAGAGACAUAGGGGAGAGUGGGAGAUUGUGAGAGCGUGCAACGUGGUGAGGACAUGAGCGCUGUGUGUGUCACGUGAGCAGAUGCUGUAUUAGAGAGAGUAAUUAUGAAUGAAGGUGACACCAAGAGAUGGUGUCAGAAGGCGGUGUGAGAGGCCCCUGGAGGACUGGGUGUGACAGAGAGGCUGUGUGAGUGUGAGACACUAGGUGUCAGCCACACUGAUGAUCUGUGAGGAACCGUGUGUGACUGUGUGUGACACAGAUCGCGUGGGAUGCUGAGACAGUGUUGCGACGGUGAGUGAGAGAGUGUGCAACUGUGCAGGGCACUCAGAGAUGAGAGUGAGAGAGAGAGACCUUGUGUGUGUAAGUGUGCAACACCGGGAGAUUGCUGUGUGUGGGCGAUGGCUGUGUGUGAGACAGACUGAGUGAGGCUGAGCAAGAGAUCCUGUAUGUGACAGUGUGUGGGGGCACACUGUGUGACUCUGUGUGAGGGAAUGUGUGUGACAACGAGAGAUUGUGCAAGAAUGAGUGUGCCUGUUUGUGGGAGUCAGUGGAGAUGUGACUGUGUUACUGUGUCAUACUACCAAAAAUGUGACACUGCUCGACACAGAGGCAGCCCGGGAAAUGACAGGUCCUCGUGUGAGACACUGAGAAAGCGUGUGUGAGGCUGUGAUAGGGUGUGAGACAGAAGGAACUCUCCAUUCAUGGCAACGUGUGUGACAUCUUGAGAGAUCGUGUGUGACACUGCGGAACUGGUUUGCACCCUUGACACUCUGGAUGGCAUAUCUGAUGGUGGUUGUGCGAGAUGUCAUUGGCGAUGAUGUGCCACCCUGUGAGAGGUUGUGAGGGACUGUGGGUGGCAUUUUGAGAGCCCGUGUGACUGUGGCGCUGUGAGAGGUUGUGUGUUGAGCACAGGUUGAUUGUGAGAUUGUGAGACUGGGGGACCCAGCGAGAUAUUGUGCAUCUCCAUGCAAAGGACCACGAGUGUGAGCCUGUGUGCUGAGAGGGGUCGUCUGAGAUGGGGUGACACCGAGGUGAUGGGGGUAACAGGGUGGGAGAGAGCAUGUGUGAUGGAGCAAGAGCCCGUGCGGGACACACAGGAGGGAUUUGUGUGGCUGUGGCAUAAAUGCAGCAGGGCGUGGGGCACACCUCGGGAGGCUGUCUUUUCAUGUGUGUGAGAGAGACAGAGACAGAGAGAGAUGGAGAGGAGACACUGGGAGAGAGAUGGAGAGAGACACAGAGAGCGGAGGAGACAGAGACACAGAAACGGAAAGACAAAGAGUGGGACAGACAGACAUGGACAGAGGACCCAGAGAGACAGACCCAGCGGUAGAGACAGCGGGAGGAGGCGGGUCCUCAGGGGCUGCGCCCCAGGGGAGGGGGCGGGGCGGAGCUGGGGCGGGGGGACCCAAAGGCUGCCUCCCAGCCUCUGCCACCAGCCCGCCAUCCCAGCCCUGAGCAGCAACAGGUAGGAGCUCCGGUCCUGCCCCAACAGCGGGUCCCUCUGCCCCAUCCGGUCACUGGCUGUCUGCCUGGGAAUGAACGAAUGAGUGAGUGAAUGAAUGACUUUACGCUUCUGCGUCUCCGUCAACCUGUUUCUCCCCCAGUCCCUCCAUCUCCCUCUGUCUGUCCCCUGUCCCUUCUCUCCUCUGUCCCUUUACCCCCCAGUGCCUCUCUCUCCCCGUCUAUCACUGUCCCUUUCUCUACCCCUCCAUUUGUCCCUCUCUGUCCUCUCCCACCCCAUCUCUCCAUCUCCCCUGCACCCCUCCAUCUCCCCUUCUCUAUCCCCCCUCUGUCACUUUGUCCCCUUUGUUCCUCUCCCUUGUAUCAUCUGUCCCUUCCUUUGCCUCUCUAUUUGUCCGGCUCUACUCCCUCCAUCGCUUCAUCCCCCAAUCUCUCCAUCUCUCUUUCUACCUCCUCCGACUCUUUCCCUCUAUGCCUCACUCUCUCCCUCUGUCACUUAUGUCCCCCUCUGCCCCUCCAUUUGUCCCUCUCUCCAUCCUCUCUGCCCCUCUCCCAGUCAUGCCUGGGUUGGGCCCUCCUGGAUCCCCCCAGCCCUGUCUCCAGCUGCUAAUGAGCAGAGGAGUCUUUGAGGUGGCCACGGCUGGGGUGGGGGGGCUCCCCGAGGGGGGCGGAGGGGGCAGCUGCUGCCUCGGCCCUAAUGAGGCCCCCUCUGCGCCCCUCCCGCCGUGAUCUUAAUUCCUUGUUCUCCCUGGAGCCUCUGCUAAUUGGCCUGGGGAGGGCCCCCCUCCUGGCUGGUGCCCUGUCACCGGGGGCUGAGGACACCUGGAUCCUGAUCCAGCACCUGUGGCCCUGUCCUUCUGUCGCUCCCUCCACCUGCCUCUCAGCCUCUCAUCUGUGCUUCCCUCCUGCCUCUCUCUGUUCCUCCCUCCUCCACCUGCCUCUGGGUACCCCAUCUGUGCACCCCUCCAUCCCUCCUCUUGCCUCUCUCCUCCCUGUUCAUCUGUGCCUCCUUCGGCCUGCCUCUUGGUCCCUCAUCUGUGCGUCUCUUCGUCUCUCCCCUUUUCCCUCUGUUUUCCUGUCCCUUCCUCCACCCGCCUCUGGGCACCCCAUCCGUGCGCCCUUCCACCCACAUCCCUGUGACUAGGGCCCACCACCACCGCCACCCUUACCUGGGGAUCCAGACUUGCCCACCCCGUGAACCCCUACUCCCGCCCGGCUUUUAACCCCUUCCCCGCCGCAGCCAUGUCCAACAACAUGGCCAAGAUCGCGGAGGCCCGCAAGACGGUGGAACAGCUGAAGCUGGAGGUGAACAUCGACCGCAUGAAGGUGUCGCAGGCGGCGGCCGAGCUCCUAUCGUUCUGCGAGACGCACGCUAAAGACGACCCGCUGGUGACGCCGGUGCCGGCCGCAGAGAACCCCUUCCGCGACAAGCGCCUCUUCUGCGUCCUGCUCUGAGCCUUCCCGACAGCCUACCCUCCCCUGCCAAAGUAUGAAUCCAAUAAACGUGGUGACUGUGUUGGUUCCUGUGCUGUCGGGGAAACUGAGGCACGCGCAGAGCCUGGGGCCACCGUGGGGGAACCUGUGUUCCUUCUCAUCUUUUCUGAGUGCGUGUGGAGUGUGGAGGAGUGGGGGUGAGGAUGUCCUGGGUGUCUCAGCACCCAGGAGGUAAUGGGGUGAAGACUGUGGACUCCAGCGGGCCGCAACCCUCAGCUGGCCUCGCUCCUCUGCUCCCUCCUGGGCUGGAGAUUCUAGGAGCCCGGGUGCUGGUCCCACCUUUUUCAUCCCCUGAAUGACUCCACCCCUUUUUCCCCAUCUGGCUGCCCCCUGCCACAGGCCUACCUCUGUCCUUAAGCACCGAACUCUGUUCAUUUAUUCAUUCCUUCAUUCCUUCUUCCAAGGACUCCCUGAGUACCUGCUCUGUGACCCUCCUGUGCUGGGUGAACCUGGGGACAUGGCUGUGACCGGCACAGCCCUGCCGCUGCCCUCCUGGGGCUCAUAAUCCAGUGGGAGAGACAGACCUGUCCCCAGCUAGUGAUGACCCAGAGUGG
ensembl:lncRNA